CACCAAGGUGCCUGACAUGGGAAUGAGGGCAUCUUAGACCUGCCUAUCAGUCUGGCUGAAGGUCACCAAGUAAAUGCUGUGCAAAACAGACAAAUGGUCCAUCCCAGCUCUGCUCAGACUCCUACAUGACAUAACUACAAAGAAACAGUACAAGAAGGAAUAUCAGAACAUCAAGAAGGAAGAAAGAACACAGUAAACAAAAAUACGGAUAAUAAAUGUAGAAGCAAUGAGGGGAAUACAGAGUUACCAUCAGAACACCAAAGUAAUAGUUGCUACAGUGGUGAAAAGGACAACAGAGAAAGAAAACUGAGAACAACUUCACCUAUGCCUUAA